rnacentral:rRNA from 1 species
UACGGAGGAUGCAAGCGUUAUCCGGAUUUAUUGGGUUUAAAGGGUGCGUAGGCUGUGCGUCAAGUCAGCGGUGAAAGACCGGGGCCCAACCUCGGAAGUGCCGUUGAUACUGUCGCGCUGGAGUACCCAUGCCGUGGGAGGAAUGAGUGGUGUAGCGGUGAAAUGCAUAGAUAUCACUCAGAACACCGAUUGCGAAGGCAUCUCACGAAUGGGGGACUGACGCUGAGGCACGAAAGCGUGGGGAU